AAUGGCCAUUUCGUCUACUUCGUCUCUGUAUGUCGCCAUGGUGGAAUUCCUAGCGUUCCAGGUUCCGGCAACUUGCUGGGUGACCAAGUCGGAAUCGCCACAACAUAUGAUGUGCUUGAUGCCAAUCUCCUUAGCGAUGCGAAGUCCAUGAAGUAAUGCUUCGUAUUCUGCCAUGUUAUUGGUAGCAUUGAAGUGAAUCUACAAGACGUAGUUGAGUUCUUCUCCUGUUGGUGACUUGAGGAUAACACCAGCCCCCAAUCGAGCCAUUAACUUGUUCGGAUCUGUCAAAGUGCAUGACCCACACUACCAGUUCUGGGACCAGUGUGUUAGGCGGAGCUUUAGUCCAAUCUGCGAUGAAAUCUGCCAAGAAUUGUGAGAUGGCGUUGCGCGCUUUGUAGUUGAUUUCGAAGGUGGCAAAUUCCAUGCCUCACUUCGCUACUCUGCCUAUGUCAUCGUAGUUGUUGAUGAUGGCGGACAGUGGAGCUUUGCUGACAACUGUGAUGGAGUGUUCCUGGAAGUAAUGCCUUAGCUUCCGGGAAGCGAGGAAAACUCCAUAAGCUAACUUCUGGUAGUGAGGGUAGCGCUGCUUGGAUUCCGUCAAGACCUCGCUGAUGUAGUAGACUGGUCUUUGGAUUCCAUACUCGUGCGCUUCUUCCUUGUGUUCUGCCAUGAUGACGACGCUGAUGACCCUGUUUUUUGCCGCCAAGUAUAGGAGCAUGGGCUCUCGAGCCUCUAGUGUUGCGAGGAUGGGGGCGGAAGAGAGAAUUCUCUUCAACUCCUGUAAGGCAGAAUCAACUUCUUCGUCCCAGACAAAUUUGUCUGCUUUCUUUAGGAGCUUGUAGAGAGGCAUUGCCUUCUCACCAAGGUGGCUGACAAACCGGCUAACAGCUGCAACGUAGCCCGUGAGCCGUUGUAUGUCCUUCAGGCAAGUUGAUCUUGAAAUGUUGAGGAUGACCUUGAUUUUUUCUGGGUUGACUACAAUUCCAUGCUGCGAAACUAUGAAGCCAAGGAGUUUUCUGGCUGGCACCCCGAAGACACAUUUUGUGGGAUUCAGCAUCAUCUUGUAUGUCCGGAGGUUGUCGAAGGUCUCCUAUAUGUCACUGAUGAGGUCAUUUCCUUUCCGGCUCACUACAACAUGAACACCCAUAUAACAACGGAUCCCUUUCCAACGGUAGCUAAGAUACGUUGGAUACGAAAAAAACAUUCCUCACAUAUCCCUCCACCCAGAUCCAGGACGUCUCUCCUCCUGUCGAUGUGGCCAUGCCGCCGCCGCUGGGUUAGCACGAUUCCGCGAUACUGCUGCUGCUGACUCCCCGUUGAUGUAGAAAGGAACCGGAUUCGUCUGCCAUGGUUGGUUUCAUCCAUGAAAAACUAUCAACAGGAUUUCGUGAUUUCCCUACAGGCUCAGAUCAGGUGCGAUUCUUCCUAGUUUGUUUUGGAUUCUGGUGAUGCUGGUCGCUCCUAACCUGCCGCCACUAUCUCCGGCAGCCCCUCAAUCAUCUACAAGCCACGCCACCGCGGAAUACUCCCUGCCUUUCAAAUAUUGCUAUAUGCAUAUUUUCCCCUCUGUUGAAAUUUCUUGGAGUGUGUGGUUCAGCGGUGCGGAUUGUCACUUCUGUAUUUUUUUGCAGCUUGGUACUGAUGUGAUUUGGGGCGUACUACGUUUGAAGUUCUGACUGUAAUCAUAGGCAGCUGCCUGAAUCACAGGUGUUCAUUGGUCGUAUCUCUUAGAUGGAUCGAUUUUCGGGAAAGAUCAAGGCACAUGUAGCUACUAGAUAGUGCAGAACUGCAGAAAUAUGGAUGAAUGUGCAAUACCAACACGUGCCAACAUGUUUGUACUUAUGAUUCGCUGGGUCAAAUAUCUAAAUCAAGAUUGCCAAGAUAAAUGGAUGAGGCCUUGAUGAGAUGAUGAUAGCAAGGAUGAUGAUGUUUCUACUACUGUACUAGAUAGUUUUACACUAUGUCUUAGAAUGUUAUUUUCAUGGUCAAUGUUUACAAUGAAACAUAUAUUCUCUGGAACUUGUUCCGUGUAAAACAUCAGAGUUGAUAUAAUAUAUUAUGUCUUUCUAUUCA